rnacentral:rRNA from 1 species
AAAAGCGCAUGCAGGUGGUUUGUUAAGUCAGAUGUGAAAGCCCGGGGCUCAACCUCGGAAUUGCAUUUUGAAAACUGGCAAACUAGAGUACUGUAGAGGGGGGUAGGAAUUUCAGGUGUAGCGGUGAAAUGCGUAGAGAUCUGAAGGAAUACCGGUGGCGAAGGCGGCCCCCUGGACAGAUACUGACACUCAGAUGCGAAAGCGUGGGGAGCAAACAGGAUUAGAUACCCUGGUAG